UGUAUAAUGGGUCAGCGACUUAUAUUCUGUAGCAAGGUUAACCGAAUAGGGGAGCCGAAGGGAAACCGAGUCUUAACUGGGCGUUAAGUUGCAGGGUAUAGACCCGAAACCCGGUGAUCUAGCCAUGGGCAGGUUGAAGGUUGGGUAACACUAACUGGAGGACCGAACCGACUAAUGUUGAAAAAUUAGCGGAUGACUUGUGGCUGGGGGUGAAAGGCCAAUCAAACCGGGAGAUAGCUGGUUCUCCCCGAAAGCUAUUUAGGUAGCGCCUCGUGAAUUCAUCUCCGGGGGUAGAGCACUGUUUCGGCAAGGGGGUCAUCCCGACUUACCAACCCGAUGCAAACUGCGAAUACCGGAGAAUGUUAUCACGGGAGACACACGGCGGGUGCUAACGUCCGUCGUGAAGAGGGAAACAACCCAGACCGCCAGCUAAGGUCCCAAAGUCAUGGUUAAGUGGGAAACGAUGUGGGAAGGCCCAGACAGCCAGGAUGUUGGCUUAGAAGCAGCCAUCAUUUAAAGAAAGCGUAAUAGCUCACUGGUCGAGUCGGCCUGCGCGGAAGAUGUAACGGGGCUAAACCAUGCACCGAAGCUGCGGCAGCGACACUAUGUGUUGUUGGGUAGGGGAGCGUUCUGUAAGCCUGUGAAGGUGGCCUGUGAGGGUUGCUGGAGGUAUCAGAAGUGCGAAUGCUGACAUAAGUAACGAUAAAGCGGGUGAAAAGCCCGCUCGCCGGAAGACCAAGGGUUCCUGUCCAACGUUAAUCGGGGCAGGGUGAGUCGACCCCUAAGGCGAGGCCGAAAGGCGUAGUCGAUGGGAAACAGGUUAAUAUUCCUGUACUUGGUGUUACUGCGAAGGGGGGACGGAGAAGGCUAUGUUGGCCGGGCGACGGUUGUCCCGGUUUAAGCGUGUAGGCUGGUUUUCCAGGCAAAUCCGGAAAACCAAGGCUGAGGCGUGAUGACGAGGCACUACGGUGCUGAAGCGACAAAUGCCCUGCUUCCAGGAAAAGCCUCUAAGCAUCAGGUAACAUCAAAUCGUACCCCAAACCGACACAGGUGGUCAGGUAGAGAAUACCAAGGCGCUUGAGAGAACUCGGGUGAAGGAACUAGGCAAAAUGGUGCCGUAACUUCGGGAGAAGGCACGCUGAUAUGUAGGUGAAGCGACUUGCUCGUGGAGCUGAA
rnacentral:rRNA from 1 species